UCUCUCUCCUGCCGCCCUGUGAAGACAUGCCUUCUGCCAUGAUUCCAAGUUUCCUGAGGCCUCCCCAGCCAAGUGGAACUGAAGUUCACAUGAACAUCCAGAUUUUGUACUUCUCUUGAAACACUGGAAGAUACAUCAACACUAGGUCCACUCCGCUGCACAGAAACAACUGGCUUGGUCCAAGCGGCAUCCUGAGUUUCCACCUGGCUAAUGAAUUUAGGGAGAAUUUUCACCACUUCUGAAUAAGUGGCCCAUGUGUUUCAAUUAUGGACAAAAUCAACAAAACACACCAGUAAGUGAAGCAAAGGAAAAGCCAUGGGCCUGAAAACCUGGGCUUCUCUUCCUGCCAUAACACAAGCUAUUCAGCAGCCAAGAACAAGGGUAUUUUCUGGAUUUUCUACAGUGAACAUGUACGAUCUUUAUACUAAAAGUUUAGUUUUUUGUAAAAAAUUAUGUAAACAACAGUACUUAUUUGGAAGUUUAAUGCAUGAAAGCAUCUCUGAAUUUGGCCUAAAUGCAAUGACCAUACUAAGUCUUUCUGACCAGACCAGCAAACCAGCAGAAUAAGCAUUUCAACCAUUCUUCAUGCUGAAUGUGAUUACUGUUCCAAGUGAUGGGUUUUAAGGGGCUUUUAAAUUCAAUUUGUGAGUACAGUUAGGCCUCCAUAAUAAUCAACCUAAUUCAACCAUUAUGUAAAUCACUGCCUCACAGAGAGGUACCCUGGUGGAGAAAGAGAAAAGACCACAAGCAAGAAUACUUAGGAAACAGAAUGCUUUGACUAAAUGAAUGUGAUACUUAACAGCAAUAAAAAAAAACCUUUAAUUCAAGCCUCUGAGUUAUAUGACCUGCUUUGUCACCUUCUUAAAGAUCACUGACAUUGAGCUUAAUGACCUAGAAGUGUGCAGUGCCUUGGGCCUCCCCAGACAUCCAUUUCAUCUCAAAGCUGAGGAAGGAAUGAGGUGGGGGUGGGAGACACCUAAGCCGAGUACACAGGAAACAGGGUCAUUCGAUGGAGACUGUCAUUUGAAAAAUAACAUGAUGAUAUCAAUUUUGUUGCUGUUGUUUUUGCCUAAUCAUGAAGUCCAAGAAGAUGAAAGUUCAGCUUAGCUGGGACUUUGCCAAAUAUUUAUCCUGAGACAGUAGUAGACAUAUAUUUUAAGGCACUGUAAUAAUAACAUGAAAGUCAUUCACCAGAGGACCUCACUCACAAAAAUAACUUAUAAGGAAAGAAUACUCUGAAUAAUAGUAAUGCUUCCAUAAGUCUUUUGAUUAUCAUAUUCUGCUAAAAAAACUUGAAACAUUACUUUCAAAUAUAUCUAACAGAUCUUACUCCUUGCAUUAUUAUUAUUUAGAUGAAUUAUUAUUCAUGUGAACCUAAUGGCAACAUAGGGAGAAACUACAAAACCCUCCUAAUUAGCUACUCUACUUUUUGCAUGAUUUUAAUUCAGUCUUAUAUUAUAAUGCACAUCUUUUAAAAUUGAGAUGUCUAAUCAGGAGCUGAAGAACACAUUGGAUUUCCUCCAAACUAAACCAUAAGAACAACUAUAUGGCUUCUGUACUAUCAUUUCUUUAAAAAUCUGGAAUUCCCCUUCCUUACAAGUUGUUAAAACUCAUUUCAAAAUCCAGUUUUAAUUGUAUCAGUAAAUGGCAGCAUGCCAUAUAGUUCAGGAUGAGAUAAUGUUUUUUUCCUAUUAGGAGAACAAAGAGUAGCAUCAGGUUUUCUGAUGUGGCAGCACACAGUGUCUCAGUGCAUCAGCUCAUUGAUCAUUCAACAGAUACUUAUGAAGUACCUACUACAUGUGAGGCACUCUGCCAAAU
rnacentral:lncRNA from 1 species